rnacentral:rRNA from 1 species
AAUAGAUACCCAGGUAGUCCACGCCGUAAACGGUGGGCACUAGGUGUGGGGAACAUUCCACGUUCUCCGUGCCGAAGCUAACGCAUUAAGUGCCCCGCCUGGGGAGUACGGCCGCAAGGCUAAAACUCAAAGGAAUUGACGGGGGCCCGCGACAAGCGGCGGAGCAUGCGGAUUAAUUCGGUGCGACGCGAAGAACCUUACCUGGGUUUGACAUAUACCGGAAAGCUGCAGAGAUGUAGCCCCCGCAAGGUCGGUAUACAGGUGGUGCAUGGCUGUCGUCAGCUCGUGUCGUGAGAUGUUGGGUUAAGUCCCGCAACGAGCGCAACCCUCGUCCUAUGUUGCCAGCGGAUUAUGCCGGGGACUCAUAGGAGACUGCCGGGGUCAACUCGGAGGAAGGUGGGGAUGACGUCAAGUCAUCAUGCCCCUUAUGUCCAGGGCUUCACGCAUGCUACAAUGGCUGGUACAAAGGGCUGCGAGACCGCAAGGUUAAGCGAAUCCCAAAAAGCCAGUCUCAGUUCGGAUUGGGGUCUGCAACUCGACCCC